GACGAACCGUCCUAACGUUGUUCGGAAUCACUGGGCUUAAAGGGCGCGUAGGCGGGUUCCCAAGUCGGUGGUGAAAUCUUUCGGCCCAACCGGAAACCAGCCGCCGAUACUGGGAGUCUUGAGGGAGGUAGGGGUCGAUGGAACUUCCGGUGGAGCGGUGAAAUGCGUAGAUAUCGGAAGGAACGCCGGUGGCGAAAGCGAUCGACUGGACCUGUUCUGACGCUGAGGCGCGAAAGCCAGGGGAGCAAACGGG
rnacentral:rRNA from 1 species